UUCUCGAGGAAAACAUUUGGCAAGAUCUGUCUAGAUACCACUAUGGAUAAUAUGGCAAAAUACACAUAGUAUGACAGUGCUCUUGGCUGGUUGAGACCCAUUUGAAGACUCUGGGCUCAGAAUGGAAGAAAAAAAAGGUGGGGUGAACAGUGACAUUCGAUUCCGGCAAACUGGAAUAUAUCCAGAAGAAAAUGCUCAAGUUAAAGAGCAGGCCUAGAAACCACAUUACACGGGGAACAGUGAGCUACAGGACUGUGCUGCAUUUGCUGUUUUUAAAAUCCCAUUCUCAUCAGACAAUUGCCUGUGUUAAGGUAGCUGCAAGAAAUGAACACAGCUGGAGGUGAUAAGAGCCAUCCUGCUGCUGUCUUCUUGGACCCAGCGAGGACCUAACCAGCCAGGAGAUACAGUAGGUUUCUGGGAGUUAUGACCUUCAAUCUGGUGACCUUGAUAC